AAAUGGGAGAUCACGUUUGAUUCCCAAGGAGGUGCUGCUCAUGCAGAGAGCUGCAGGCGAACCAGUGACUGUGGGAAGAUCUGCAGCCGUGUCAUUACUGGACUGGUACGACCUGAAACAAGAGGUUCUUCUGGUCAUGGAGAGGCCAGUCGACUCUACAGAUCUGCUGCACCUCGUAAAAAAGAACUGUGGUCCGUUGGCUGAGAACCAUGCAAAGAUCAUCAUGAAGCAGCUGCUGGAUGCUGCCAUCGAUUUGAAAGCAAAGAGCAUCUUCCACCGAGAUUUUAAAGAGAACAUCCUCAUUGAGCCCAGGUCCGAUGGACCGCGAGUGUGAAUCAUUGAUUUUGGAUGUGGCUGCAAUAGAAGGGAAAACUGCGUCUACAGCCAAUUCUCUGGAACCUUUGCAUAAGCCCCUCCAGAGUUCUCAAUGAAAGGCAGAUACAUGGCUGGCCCCACAACAGUCUGGCAGAUGGCAGCAAUUCUAUUUGAAAUGCUGACUGGAGACGCGUGGUUCCACACCAGGGACAUUAUCAGGCCUGAUUUCCAAAUAUGGUUUGGAUCCAAAGACUGCCAAGACUUCUUGAAAAAGUGUCUGGUUUUAGACCCUAAGAAGCGGGCCACUUUGGAGGAACUGAGGCAGCACCGCUGGUUAGUUAGCCCUAUACCAGCCCAUUCCAAACCAACCCAGCCCCAACUCCCCCAUCCCAAACCUCACCAGAUCCCAACCAUCCAUCCCCAACUCCCCCAUCUCCAACUCCCCUAUCCCCAAUAUCAUCCUAUCCAGACCAUUCAGCCCCAACUCCCCUAUCCUCAACUCCCCCAUCCCCAACCCCAUCAUAUCCAAACUUUCCAUCUCCAACUCCUCCAUCCCCACAUCAUCCUAUCCAGACCAUUCAGCACCAACUUCCAUAUACUCAACUCCCCCAUCCCCAAUCUCACCACAUCCAAACCAACCAGCCCCAACUCCCCACUUCCCAAAUCCUCUUUCCCCAACCCACCCAUUUAUAUUUAUACUGCAAUAUGUACGGUACUUCUUGGUCGGAUUGUUAUCAGACUCCAUGAGCCUGCCGGAAUAGCCUCCAUGUGCGUUGUGGCAUCACAAGAGGGCGUGUGAUAGAGUGCAGUAAGGUUCCUCACCCUGGGAGUGGCCACCACGCCACAAGAUGGCUGCCCGGAGGACUAAAUCUCCCAGAAGGCACUUCUGGGGGAGGUGCCAAUGCCUCCGCCCUCAUUAAACCUGGAGCUCAGGUGUGGGGUCCAGAGGAGAGCACAGAGGAGUGGAGACAGCCAGGAAGAAGCCAGUAUGAGACGUGGAAGAUGUCAGGUUAUGUGGAUGGAGAUGGACCCAGGAUGCAGAGGAUGAACAGAAAAUACAAUUUGAAUAUAAGGAGAGUCUAAGCUGAGCAGCAAGGCGCACAGGGAACACGGAACAUCAGGAUGGGAAAACUAGACGAGACAGCAAGACACGACAACCCAUAAGAGAACGUGUAAAACGAGUAACGAACAACAAAGGAAACAGGGGAACACAGAGGCUUAAAAAGAGACACAGGUGCAACACAUGAGGACUUGGGAAGACAAUCACCAAGACAGGAAGUGACACACCCAAGAAGCUGGAAAACACUAAAGGAAAACAAGACUACAAAAUAAAACAGGAAACAGAAAACACAAAGAGACGGAAAUCCACAAACUAAAAUGACAGAACGUCACAGAAGAAACUACUUUGUAUUUGUACUCUGUAUAGCGCCUGGAGAUAAUGUAUCAAGUGAAUUUUUUUUAAAUAAAAUGAACUUGUUUGUUAUAAACAUACUUCAGGUUUUAUAUUUCACCAUGAAAGGAUAAUUGCUUAUCGUUAGUUACCAAACUCCUCAUUUAGUGAGGUUACAGAUUAAUAAAGAUCUUUUUCACAAAAUGUAAUUUUCACAAUGGGGGGGACAGGAGGCUCACCGGCUUGUGAAGCUGUGCAAGCAGCAAAAGCUGCUGAAGUGUUCCAAUCUGUGCAGCCCAGUGUGUAUCAGGAGCUGACCCAGGAUUAUUACACAGGUCAAACUAAUUUUGAUUUGAUCCAGCAGUCUGCUCAUGUUCAGGCCUCAUAUUUAUACACGUGACAUUUGCAGUAAUAGGUUUUUUAAUCUGAUGGAUUUAAGAGGACAAAACACACAUGAGCAGCAGCAGAUUCAAGGGAACAUAACUCAGGGUCACCAUCUCGUGGCCAGAGAAGGAACUGUACUCUGUUAUGCUCUGAUUAAAUUGCAUUUCUCUCCAUCAUCAUGUUUCUAGAUGUAUAAUUGCAGUUAAGACAUCUUUUAAAUGCAUAAUUCAACAUAAUAUUCAGUCAAGAUAUUCAGCUCACACACCCACACUGUUACAGGCUGAUCCUACAGUUAACAAAUGUAAAGAAGAAUACGUGGUCUAUUUUAUUCUCAUAUUUUAUGGAAUACAAAGCCCCCAACAUCCACGCCUACCCCAAAAAGUGUGCACAUCAGAUCUGGUUGAAACUAUUUUUAAGGACAAUGAAAAACAAUAGCCAAGAGACCAAGGGAAUCUGCUUUAUGUGUGCUUAAGUGUCAGACUGCAGUUUAAUGUGAUGUCAUCAUAUA